rnacentral:rRNA from 1 species
ACCCGCUGAACUUAAGCAUAUCAAUAAGCGGAGGAAAAGAAACCAACAGGGAUUGCCCUAGUAACGGCGAGUGAAGCGGCAACAGCUCAAAUUUGAAAUCUGGCGUCUUUGGCGUCCGAGUUGUAAUUUGCAGAGGGCGCUUUGGCAUUGGCAGCGGUCCAAGUUCCUUGGAACAGGACGUCACAGAGGGUGAGAAUCCCGUACGUGGUCGCUAGCCUUUACCGUGUAAAGCCCCUUCGACGAGUCGAGUUGUUUGGGAAUGCAGCUCUAAAUGGGAGGUAAAUUUCUUCUAAAGCUAAAUACUGGCCAGAGACCGAUAGCGCACAAGUAGAGUGAUCGAAAGAUGAAAAGCACUUUGGAAAGAGAGUUAAAAAGCACGUGAAAUUGUUGAAAGGGAAGCGCUUGCAGCCAGACUUGCCUGUAGUUGCUCAUCCGGGUUUUUACCCGGUGCACUCUUCUAUAGGCAGGCCAGCAUCAGUUUGGGCGGUUGGAUAAAGGUCUCUGUCAUGUGCCUCUCUUCGGGGAGAACUUAUAGGGGAGACGACAUGCAACCAGCCCGGACUGAGGUCCGCGCAUCUGCUAGGAUGCUGGCGUAAUGGCUGU